AAGGAAUAUUGGUCAAUGGAGGCAACUCUGAACCAGCCAUGCCGCGUGCAGGAUGACGGCCCUAUGGGUUGUAAACUGCUUUUAUGCAAGAGAAAACCCGAGUACGUGUACUCGGUUGAUAGUAUUGUAAGAAUAAGCAUCGGCUAACUUCGUGCCAGCAGCCGCGGUAAGACGAAGGAUGCAAGCGUUAUCCGGAUUCAUUGGGUUUAAAGGGUGCGUAGGCGGACCUGUAAGUCAGUGGUGAAAUCUCUUUGCUUAACAAAGAAACUGCCAUUGAUACUGCAAGUCUAGAGUAUAGAUGACGUUGGCGGAAUAUGACAUGUAGUGGUGAAAUACUUAGAUAUGUCAUAGAACACCGAUUGCGAAGGCAGCUAACGAAACUAUAACUGACGCUGAGGCACGAAAGUGCGGGGAUCAAAC
rnacentral:rRNA from 1 species